rnacentral:lncRNA from 1 species
GCCAGUGCAAGUGCAGAGACAGUUGCCAGGUACACAAGCCAGCCACGAGGAUAUAAAUUACUCCUUUACCCUUCUGCGAGCAAAAAAAAAGUCCUCUGAAACAUCUAUUACCCAAUCAAGAAAGCAUAAGAGAGGGGAAAAAGUCAACAAUAAUUGUCUGUUACCACAUGUUGACUAAGAAAUGAAAUCAGAACCAAGAGAUCCCCAGAGAAUGCCACCAAUCCAAGUAAGCCCUGUGUGUAAGAAGGGAGGGAGGGAGGUGGAGUCCCACGGUUAGCCAGACAUUCAAAAUAAGGACGGGGGAAGACUGAACAUGGAAGACACAUUUCCUCCUCCACACUUCAUCCCACAGGCAAAUGGGAAAAGGGGCUUGGUGUUUCUGCAUGUCGGGGUGAGGGAGCAGGUAGGAGUAGAAAUGGGAAGGGCCCAUCUGGGUCGAGGUGUGCUGUGUGGGCGAUACCAAUGUAACAGUGACAAUCUUCUCACAAAGGCAGACAACAAAAUCACUUCCAGGCCACCUUCCUCACAGUAGUAUGUGUUGUACCUCAGCCGAUGCUGUGAGCACCUGAAGGCCUCAGAAAGACCAAAAAAAGUACCCUACAGAAAGUCACCAACAAUAUCACCAUGCAGUAAAAUAAUAGUGUUUGGAAGCUACAAAUGCAACACCAAUUGGGGCACUCACUAAGAAACUUAGGGUGGAGCAGUGGCCUUCCAAAGGCAGGGUAGUGAGAGUGGUGCCCCCACCCCA